UUGAACGCUGGCGGCAUGCCUUACACAUGCAAGUCGCACGCGAAAGGGGGCAACCCUGAGUAGAGUGGCGGACGGGUGAGUAACGCGUAGGAAUAUACCUGGUAGUGGGGGACAACCCGGUGAAAACCGGGCUAAUACCGCAUACGAUCCACGGCUGAAAGCAGGGGACCGCAAGGCCUUGCGCUAUCCGAUUAGCCUGCGUCGGAUUAGCUAGUUGGUGAUGUAAUGGCUCACCAAGGCAACGAUCCGUAGCUGGUUUGAGAGAACGACCAGCCACACCGGAACUGAGACACGGUCCGGACUCCUACGGGAGGCAGCAGUGGGGAAUAUUGGACAAGGGGGGCAACCCUGAUCCAGCAAGGCCGCGUGUGUGAAGAAGGCCGUCGGGUUGUAAAGCACUUGCGGUGGGGAAAAACAUGGCGAGGCUAACAUCCUCGUCCUUGAUGGUACCCAAAGAAGAAGCACCGGCUAACUCUGU
rnacentral:rRNA from 1 species